UACGUAGGGUGCGAGCGUUGUCCGGAAUUACUGGGCGUAAAGAGCUCGUAGGUGGUUUGUCGCGUUGUUCGUGAAAACUCACAGCUCAACUGUGGGCGUGCGGGCGAUACGGGGCAGACUGGAGUACUGCAGGGGAGACUGGAAUUCCUGGUGUAGCGGUGGAAUGCGCAGAUAUCAGGAGGAACACCGGUGGCGAAGGCGGAUCUCUGGGCCUGUCCUGACGCUGAGGCGCGAAAGCUAGGGGAGCGAACAGG
rnacentral:rRNA from 1 species